rnacentral:rRNA from 1 species
GACGAACGCUGGCGGCGUGCUUAACACAUGCAAGUCGAACGGAAAGGCCCUGCUUUUGUGGGGCGCUCGAGUGGCGAACGGGUGAGUAACACGCGAGUAACCUGCCCUUGACUUUGGGAUAACUUCAGGAAACUGGGGCUAAUACCGGAUAGGAGCUCCUGCUGCAUGGUGGGGGUUGGAAAGUUUCGGCGGUUGGGGAUGGACUCGCGGCUUAUCAGCUUGUUUGUGGGGUAGUGGCUUACCAAGGCUUUGACGGGUAGCCGGCCUGAGAGGGUGACCGGCGACAUGGGGCCUGAGAUACGGCCCAGACGCCUACGGGAGGCAGCAGUGGGGAGUAUGGCACAGUGGGCGGAAGCCUGAUGCAGCAGCGCCGCGUGCGGGAUGACGGCCUUCGGGUUGUAAACCGCUGUCGCCUGUGACGAAGCGUGAGUGACGGUAAUGGGUAAAGAAGCACCGGCUAACUACGUG